AACUGUAUGAUCCCUUGCUGGACCCUACAAUACUUUAGAUGAUGGUGGAAAGGAAUAAAAGAUUGUUAAGUACUGAACACUACUGUAUUAACCGAAACGUACUAAAGGUAAAGAUGAGCUUAAUGGACUAUGAGUGAAUGAAAUGAGUGACGCAGCCCUUGUUGGCUGUAACGAGAACGCUUGACCAACUUGGUAGCUCAACGCGAACUGAACAUAUAUUAUGAAUUAAAAUGUAAGUGGCGUAAAAUGCUGAUGUGCGGAAUGUGCGGUUGCACCGUACAUGCUCCCGAGCGGGAAGAUGAGUAUGAGAUGAACAUGAUAAGAUGAGUAACAAGGUGAUUCCAAUUGGUCCUUAUUUAAUGCUUAGAGUCUCUACUUGAACUCCGUUUUACGUGAUAUAGGCACUGUACACUUGUCUAACUUAUGCACCUUUGGAAUUUCUCUGUAAUCUGACACACACGGAAUUUCACACUGAUUACGCGCACUAGCACUAUAUUCCACAGUGGAUGAUGACAGAGAGGCCCCAGCCUCUGCCCGUGCCGGGGUCACGUGUUGCGUUGCCUGUAGACUUGCCAAUGCGGCCCUUGCCACCUCGAGAGAAGCGGUCCGCCUGUUGUGCAGCCGACGCCGUACCAUGAAGCCUGCUCCAACCACCAACACAACUCCGAUCAUCACAUAAAAUGCUGUGUAGUGAUGGAUAUCGUGAUAGGAAAGUUGAUUUGGUAACUUUUCACUUGCUUUAAGUAUGCGGAGUUGUUUCUUGAUUUCGUCGAACUCCUCGUUACUCGAGAGUAGUGUAUUGUUUUGUAUCAGUGGUGUCGAGAUGCCUGCGUUUAUGAUAUGAUUAAUUGGUUCUAUCUCAGGUAGCUUUAACGAUGGUUUUAUGUUUAAAGUGCUAAAAGCUUCAUUGCGUGAGUAAACGGUAAAACUUUCAGUUUUAAUUA
rnacentral:lncRNA from 1 species